rnacentral:rRNA from 1 species
UACCAGCACCCCGAGUGGUCGGGACGAUUAUUGGGCCUAAAGCAUCCGUAGCCGGUCCUGCAAGUCUUCCGUUAAAUCCAGCUGCUCAACAGAUGGGCUGCGGAGGAUACUACAGGGCUAGGAGGCGGGAGAGGCAAGCGGUACUUUAUGGGUAGGGGUAAAAUCCGUUGAUCCAUAGAAGACCACCAAUGGCGAAGGCGGCUUGCCAGAACGCGCUCGACGGUGAGGGAUGAAAGCUGGGGGAGCAAACCGG